AUUGAACGCUGGCGGCAUGCUUUACACAUGCAAGUCGAACGGCAGCGCGGGCUUCGGCCUGGCGGCGAGUGGCGAACGGGUGAGUAAUACAUCGGAACGUGCCCAGUAGUGGGGGAUAGCUCGGCGAAAGCCGGAUUAAUACCGCAUACGACCUGAGGGUGAAAGCGGGGGAUCUUCGGACCUCGCGCUAUUGGAGCGGCCGAUGGCAGAUUAGCUAGUUGGUGGGGUAAAGGCCUACCAAGGCGACGAUCUGUAGCUGGUCUGAGAGGACGACCAGCCACACUGGGACUGAGACACGGCCCAGACUCCUACGGGAGGCAGCAGUGGGGAAUUCUGGACAAUGGGCGAAAGCCUGAUCCAGCAAUGCCGCGUGUGUGAUGAAGGCCUUCGGGUUGUAAAGCACUUUUGGCGGGAACGAAAAGGACUGUGCCAAUACCACGGUUCGAUGACGGUACCCGCAGAAUAAGCACCGGCUAACUACGUG
rnacentral:rRNA from 1 species